rnacentral:rRNA from 1 species
GUGCUAGCAACCGCGGUAAUGCGGAGGGUGCAAGCGUUAUCCGGAUUUAUUGGGUUUAAAGGGUCCGUAGGCGGAUGCGUAAGUCAGUGGUGAAAUCUCACAGCUCAACUGUGAAACUGCCAUUGAUACUGCGUGUCUUGAGUGAGGUUGAAGUAGCUGGAAUAAGUAGUGUAGCGGUGAAAUGCAUAGAUAUUACUUAGAACACCAAUUGCGAAGGCAGGUUACUAAGUCUCAACUGACGCUGAUGGACGAAAGCGUGGGGAGCGAACAGGAUUAGAUACCCUGGUAGUCCACGCUGUAAACGAUGCUAACUCGUUUUUGGGGAUUUAUCUUCAGAGACUAAGCGAAAGUGAUAAGUUAGCCACCUGGGGAGUACGAACGCAAGUUUGAAACUCAAAGGAAUUGACGGGGGCCCGCUCAAGCGGUGGAUUAUGUGGUUUAAUUCGAUGAUACGCGAGGAACCUUACCAAGGCUUAAAUGGGAAUUGAUCGGUUUAGAAAUAGACCUUCCUUCGGGCAAUUUUCAAGGUGCUGCAUGGUUGUCGUCAGCUCGUGCCGUGAGGUGUUAGGUUAAGUCCUGCAACGAGCGCAACCCCUGUCACUAGUUGCCAUCAUUCAGUUGGGGACUCUAGUGAGACUGCCUACGCAAGUAGAGAGGAAGGUGGGGAUGACGCCAAAUCAUCACGGCCCUUACGCCUUGGGCCACACACGUAAUACAAUGGCCGGUACAGAGGGCAGCUACACAGCGAUGUGAUGCAAAUCUCGAAAGCCGGUCUCAGUUCGGAUUGGAGUCUGCAACUCGACUCUAUGAAGCUGGAAUCGCUAGUAAUCGCGCAUCAGCCAUGGCGCGGUGAAUACGUUCCCGGGCCUUGUACACACCGCCCGUCAAGCCAUGGAAGUCUGGGGUACCUGAAGUCGGUGACCGUAAAAGGAGCUGCCUAGGGUAAAACAGGUAACUAGGGCUAAGUCGUAACAAGGUAACC